rnacentral:rRNA from 1 species
CCUACGGGAGGCUGCAGUGAGGAAUAUUGGUCAAUGGACGAGAGUCUGAACCAGCCAAGCAGCGUGAAGGAUGAAUGCCCUAUGGGUUGUAAACUUCUUUUAUAUGGGAAUAAAAUGUUCCACGUGUGGGAUUUUGUAUGUACCAUAUGAAUAAGGAUCGGCUAACUCCGUGCCAGCAGCCGCGGUAAUACGGAGGAUCCGAGCGUUAUCCGGAUUUAUUGGGUUUAAAGGGAGCGUAGGUGGAUUGUUAAGUCAGUUGUGAAAGUUUGCGGCUCAACCGUAAAAUUGCAGUUGAAACUGGCAGUCUUGAGUACAGUAGAGGUGGGCGGAAUUCGUGGUGUAGCGGUGAAAUGCUUAGAUAUCACGAAGAACUCCGAUUGCGAAGGCAGCUCACUGGACUGCAACUGACACUGAGGCGCGAAAGCGUGGGGAGCAAACAGGAUUAGAUACCCCAGUAGUC